GACGAACGCUGGCGGCGUGCUUAACACAUGCAAGUCGAGCGGUAAGGCCCUUUCGGGGGUACACGAGCGGCGAACGGGUGAGUAACACGUGGGUGACCUGCCCUCAGCUCUGGGAUAAGCCUGGGAAACCGGGUCUAAUACUGGAUAUGACUCCAUGACGCAUGUUGUGGGGUGGAAAGCCUUGUGCGGCUGAGGAUGGGCCCGCGGCCUAUCAGCUUGUUGGUGGGGUGAUGGCCUACCAAGGCGACGACGGGUAGCCGGCCUGAGAGGGCGACCGGCCACACUGGGACUGAGACACGGCCCAGACUCCUACGGGAGGCGGCAGUGGGGAAUCUUGCGCAAUGGGCGAAAGCCUGACGCAGCGACGCCGCGUGAGGGAUGACGGCCUCGG
rnacentral:rRNA from 1 species